CGCGGCCUAUCAGCUUGUUGGUGAGGUAACGGCUCACCAAGGCAUUGACGGGUAGCUAGUCUGAGAGGACGAAUAGCCACACUGGGACUGAGACACGGCCCAGACUCCUACGGGAGGCAGCAGCAGGGAAUCUUGCACAAUGGACGAAAGUCUGAUGCAGCGACGCCGCGUGGGGGAUGAAGGCCCUAGGGUCGUAAACCCCUUUCAGUGGGGACGAAACUGACGGUACCCACAGAAGAAGGUCCGGCCAACUACGUGCCAGCAGCCGCGGUAAGACGUAGGGACCGAGCGUUGUCCGGAAUUAUUGGGCGUAAAGAGCUCGUAGGCGGUUGCGUAAGUCGGAUGUGAAAGCUCGGGGCUCAACCCCGAGACGCCAUCCGAUACUGCGCUGACUUGAAUCCAGUAGGGGAGUGUGGAAUUCCUGGUGUAGCGGUGAAAUGCGCAGAUAUCAGGAGGAACACCUAUGGCGAAGGCAGCACUCUGGGCUGGUAUUGACGCUGAGGAGCGAAAGCAUGGGUAGCAAACAGGAUUAGAUACCCUGGUAGUCCAUGCCGUAAACGGUGGGCACUAGGUGUGGGGACUUUCAACGGUUUCCGUGCCGAAGCUAACGCAUUAAGUGCCCCGCCUGGGGAGUACGG
rnacentral:rRNA from 1 species